GAUGAACGCUGGCGGCGUGCCUAAUACAUGCAAGUCGAGCGAACAGACGAGGAGCUUGCUCCUCUGACGUUAGCGGCGGACGGGUGAGUAACACGUGGAUAACCUACCUAUAAGACUGGGAUAACUUCGGGAAACCGGAGCUAAUACCGGAUAAUAUAUUGAACCGCAUGGUUCAAUAGUGAAAGACGGUUUUGCUGUCACUUAUAGAUGGAUCCGCGCCGCAUUAGCUAGUUGGUACGGUAACGGCUUACCAAGGCGACGAUGCGUAGCCGACCGGAGAGAGUGAUAGGCCACACUGGAACUGAGACACGGUCCAGACUCCUACGGGAGGCAGCAGUAGGGAAUCUUCCGCAAUGGGCGAAAGCCUGACGGAGCAACGCCGCGUGAGUGAUGAAGGUCUUCGGAUCGUAAAACUCUGUUAUUAGGGAAGAACAAAUGUGUAAGUAACUAUGCACGUCUUGACGGUACCUAAUCAGAAAGCCACGGCUAACUACGUG
rnacentral:rRNA from 1 species